rnacentral:rRNA from 1 species
AUUGAACGCUGGCGGCAGGCUUAACACAUGCAAGUCGAGCGGGGGAGGUUGCUUCGGUAACUGACCUAGCGGCGGACGGGUGAGUAAUGCUUAGGAAUCUGCCUAUUAGUGGGGGACAACAUUCCGAAAGGAAUGCUAAUACCGCAUACGCCCUACGGGGGAAAGCAGGGGAUCUUCGGACCUUGCGCUAAUAGAUGAGCCUAAGUCGGAUUAGCUAGUUGGUGGGGUAAAGGCCUACCAAGGCGACGAUCUGUAGCGGGUCUGAGAGGAUGUACCGCCACACUGGGACUGAGACACGGCCCAGACUCCUACGGGAGGCAGCAGUGGGGAAUAUUGGACAAUGGGCGGAAGCCUGAUCCAGCCAUGCCGCGUGUGUGAAGAAGGCCUUUUGGUUGUAAAGCACUUUAAGCGAGGAGGAGGCUCUUAAGGUUAAUACCCUUGAUGAGUGGACGUUACUCGCAGAAUAAGCACCGGCUAACUCUGUGCCAGCCGCCGCGGUAAUAC